GUGGAAGUAGUUCAGUGGUAGAACAUCACCUUACCAAGGUGGGGGUCGCGGGUUCGAAUCCCGUCUUCCGCUCCA
rnacentral:tRNA from 1 species